rnacentral:rRNA from 1 species
UACAGAGGUCUCAAGCGUUGUUCGGAUUCAUUGGGCGUAAAGGGCGCGUAGGUGGCCCGGUCAGUCCGUGGUGAAAGCGCGGGGCUCAACCCCGCGUCGGCCAUGGAUACUGCUGGGCUUGAGCACUGUAGAGGCAGGCGGAAUUCCGGGUGUAGCGGUGGAAUGCGUAGAGAUCCGGAAGAACACCGGUGGCGAAGGCGGCCUGCUGGGCAGUGGCUGACACUGAGGCGCGACAGCGUGGGGAGCAAACAGG